rnacentral:rRNA from 1 species
UACGUAGGGUGCAAGCGUUGUCCGGAAUUAUUGGGCGUAAAGAGCGUGUAGGCGGCCAGACAGGUCCGUUGUGAAAUCGCCCGGCUCAACUGGGCGGGGUCGGCGGAUACGGCCGAGCUGGAGCAAGCUAGGGGGUAAUGGAAUUCCCGGUGUAGUGGUGGAAUGCGUAGAUAUCGGGGAGGAACACCAGUGGCGAAGGCGGUUACCUGGAGCUUUUGCUGACGCUGAUUGCGCGAAAAGCGUGGGGGGAGCGAGCCG